CUUCUUUUCGUUUUCUCUCUCCUCCUGCAAAUUCUCUCGACUUCAUCUUCUUCCAUGCUUCGAUUUUCGCUGUUCCUGCAAUUCCUCACCUUCUCGCGAUUUCUUCUUUCUCAGUUCGCGCAGUGACAUGACGAGGGGAAGUAUGUACUUGGCUGCAUCAACUCCUCCUAAUGAAUAUGGUAAUCAUUCGUAUCAUAGUACCCCCUAUCCUACGGUCACGUUGCAGCUUUUGGAAGGAGAACAAGGUUCCACAGAUUUUCCCUCAAUUUUCUAUAGUGAACCGAAGCAAUCCGCAACUCGGAAAGCCUGCCACAACUCUAGGAAAUAAAACUGAACAAAGCAAAAAAGAACCAACAAGUCAACAAAAGUCAACUUUUGGCAAAUAAUAAGCUGAUUUUCUUGGGUCGGGUUCUAAUUUUUUGUAUGCUAGUUUGUGCUAUGUUAUUGGUGUUGUAAAUGCGCUACUGCUAUAUGUGAUCCUAAAGUUGACAUGCGUUGACUUUGUUUAUCUAGGUAAUAAGAGUAAUCGGGCCUUUACUUUUAUUUAUUCUAUUUAAAAAUACUA